ACCUAAGAGAUUAGGCGCUCCCUUCGGGGACGGAAUGACAGGUGGUGCAUGGUUGUCGUCAGCUCGUGUCGUGAGAUGUUGGGUUAAGUCCCGCAACGAGCGCAACCCUUAUGAUCAGUUGCCAGCAUUCAGUUGGGCACUCUGGUCAGACUGCCGGUGACAAACCGGAGGAAGGCGGGGAUGACGUCAAAUCAUCAUGCCCCUUAUGACCUGGGCUACACACGUGCUACAAUGGGUGGUACAACGAGCAGCGAGACCGCGAGGUCAAGCGAAUCUCUAAAAACCAUCCUCAGUUCGGAUUGCAGGCUGCAACUCGCCUGCAUGAAGCUGGAAUCGCUAGUAAUCGCGGAUCAGCACGCCGCGGUGAAUACGUUCCCGGGUCUUGUACACACCGA
rnacentral:rRNA from 1 species